rnacentral:rRNA from 1 species
UACGGGGGGGGGCAAGCGUUGUUCGGAAUUACUGGGCGUAAAGAGCUCGUAGGUGGCCUGUCGCGUCGGCUGUGAAAACUCGGGGCUCAACUCCGAGCUUGCAGUCGAUACGGGCAGGCUAGAGUUCGGCAGGGGAGACUGGAAUUCCUGGUGUAGCGGUGAAAUGCGCAGAUAUCAGGAGGAACACCGGUGGCGAAGGCGGGUCUCUGGGCCGAUACUGACACUGAGGAGCGAAAGCGUGGGGAGCGAACAGG